CUUGUCCUGCAUUUGAUCCUCUGCACUACGCUGGAAGGGUCAAGGAAUUGCUGGGACAGUUUUUAAGGAUUUUGACCAAACCACCUUCCAGAGAGGCGUUCCCACCUGAAAGGCAUCAGUGACGGUGACAACAGUAGUAACAGUGGAAUGCGCGUGGCUCUUCUGACACGAGUGUUGUGGAGCUGGAGGAGACACAGGUGUAGUGACCCACCCGCUGUCACCUAGCACAGAAGCUGUACUGACGACACGGCCACCCAGGAAGUCUGAACUCGCCGCUCCCAGAGCAGUGUUUGGUCUCAUGUGGCCGAGUUCAGAUUUUUCUAAAAUCUGUAUUUCCUUGAACACUAGUAAGUCUGAAUAUUUUAAUCUUUUUUUUUCCUUUCUGUCACAUUUUUGGAUGUGCGUAUCAUGCGUGUGUGGUGAAGUGUGUGGAGUGUUCGGUGCGCAGUGUCACGUGGGUUAUGUGUUUAGGUAUGUGGUGUCUGCAUGUGUGUGUGGGUGCGUGUGGUGAGUAGACAUGCGUGUCUGAGUGUGUGUGGAGUGUGUGUGAGCGGUGUGUGUGUCUGUGCCCAUGGGGAGUAUGCGGGUGGCGGGUAUGGAGUGGAGUGUGGGUGUGUGAGGAGGUCUGUGUCCAUUGUCCAUCUACACCCACGAAGCCAUAGGGGUCUGGAGUCAUGAGGAACUUUGGAAACUUGAGCAAAUUCUGAGGUGUUUUCUCCCUCCAUAAGCUGGAGAUAAUGAAAUAGCCUUUUUCGUGUUGACAGAGGAUGAGGGCAGAUGACAAAGCCUGUGCCCGGAGUGUUGCUCACAGUGAGGCUUGCUGUGGGCAGAGUGAAUAUUUGGUCGUGGGUCGUACUCCGUAGUGGUGUCCCCAAGAGUCUUCUCGGGCACAUGUCUGGCUGUGAGAUUUGCUGUUGCAUGGUGAGAUUUGAAGAACAACCUGAGGCCUGGCUGGGGGCGAGUUUGUCUUUGUCCUGCCUUCCUCACGGUCCAGAGGAGAAGUUGGACUCACUCUCAGUUAGAGGGACUGAUUUCGAGCCCCUCGUUAGGUGAUAAGGACCUGGGUUCGACUUCUCUCUUCCUUGCCCUGCCCCACUGAGCAGCUUUCACCAGGGGCCUCAGAGGGGCCCGCUGUUCUUGUGUCAGCUGUCUUCCUCCUUCUCUCCAACAGACUGUGGCGCAUGUGCAGGUAAGAGGCUACCCGCACCCUGAAGAGUUUUCAUCUUGCUUGAACACAAGCAAAAACAGCUGAGGUAGAAAGU